rnacentral:tRNA from 1 species
GGUCCUGUGGUCUAGUGGUUAUGACGUCGCAUUGACAUUGCGGAGAUCCCCAGUUCGAUCCUGGGCAGGACCA